rnacentral:tRNA from 1 species
UUAAUUGAAACCAAAAUAGAGGUAUAUUACUGUUAAUAAUAUUAUUAAGUUAACCUUCAAUUAAA